UACGUAGGUGGCAAGCGUUGUCCGGAAUUAUUGGGCGUAAAGCGCGCGCAGGCGGCCUUUUAAGUCUGAUGUGGAAGCCCACGGCUCAACCGUGGAAGGUCAUUGGAAACUGAAAGGCUUGAGUACAGAAGAGGAAAGCGGAAUUCCACGUGUAGCGGUGAAAUGCGUAGAUAUCGGAAGGAACACCAGUGGCGAAAGCGGCUUCCUGGUCCAGCACCGACGUUCAGGCACGAAAGCGUGGGGAGCAAACAGG
rnacentral:rRNA from 1 species